CAUUAUCAAUUUCUGCGCGAUUUUUUUUUUGCGCAUGUAUUUAAAACCCAUACUCUUUUUUGAAAAAUUGACAUAUUUUUUACUUGAAAUUAAGUAAUUAAAAAGAUUACUUUCAACAACGGAUCUCUUGGCUCUCGCAUCGAUGAAGAAUGUAGCAAAGUGCGAUAAGUAGUGUGAAUUGCAGAAUUCCGCGGAUCAUCGAAUUUUUGAACGCAAAUUGCACUCCUCGAUUUCGAAGAGUAUGCCUGUUUGAGGGUCGUCAAAAUAAAAAAUCGAUUCGUUACUUUUGUAACAUUUCGGAAUUGAGUCGUCUUGCAUCUUUGAUUCAAGAGGCUUAAAAUUGAUCACCUUUGGUAUAAUUUGAGUGUACUUAAGAUUUCUUUAUCGCGCUCGAUGAAUAUCGGACAUUUUCAUUAGGAUGACCAUGAUUGAUCAUGGUUUCAUUCCUAUAAUCAUUUCAUGAUACGACCUCAAAUCAGGUAGGAAUACCCGCUGAACUUAAGCAUAUCAAUAA
rnacentral:rRNA from 1 species